GGAAGUGUGGCUGAGUGGUUGAAGGCAACGGUCUUGAAAACCGUCAUACGUUAACGCGUAUCAUGGGUUCGAAUCCCAUCACUUCCG
rnacentral:tRNA from 1 species